GACUUCACCUGACGCAUUCCACCUUUGACAAGCCAAAACCAAACAACACCUUAACAUCAGUUCGUGUAUGACACAUUGUCGCUCUCGCUUUCUUUCUUUCCAUUUCUGUCUCGUCGAGUAAUAUCAUACAUACAUGGAAUUUGGAGGUUCAUUUCAGUUAUUGCAUAGCUCAGGCGCAAGAACAAGCGUCUCUGUGGUGGGACAAAGUGACUCACCUGUCCGUCUCCUCCGAGCAGCCCGUCGCUCAGCACGCUCAGCAUGCAUGGGUACUCCUGCGAGUGCGACGCCGUUGAACUUUAACUACACUUAAAGCAUCGUGGCCCGGUCCAAAGGUGCGAGGGGAGAGUGGGGGCAGACUUUGCACUACUUGCACAUCAUGAGAACCUUUAUGAUUAACCUGCUUGUAAACGGACAACGGGGAGUAUCACAGCCAUGGAACGGAGCGGAACAAGAGUAACACGGCGUGUGCAAGUACGCAAGGACUUUGUUGAAGGCGCGUCUUUGGAAUAAAACCGCCUUGCUGCAGAGGAACACUUAGACCUACGGCGGGGCUGUAUUUUAAUGUUAUUUACCAUGGUGGUAAUAGGCCAGCAGCCAAGUAUGAUUUAGUGCCCCUUUGCGUUUGAGACCCAAGGGUUAAACGGAAAAGCCGAACUGACAUGAUUUAAAACCACGGCCUCGCCGUGAAUUUGCGUUGCAUUUUUUUCUCCUUUUUUACAAAUAAGGUGAAAAGAAGUGCUCGCGUGUCACGAUGGAUGCUGUGUGUACUGUGCGGGUUCAUCAAAAAGUGGGCGUGUUCGUUUGCUCAAGUUUACAAUCUGCAUUCGUUGAAAAGUGGACGCGGUGAAAAUGCAGAUGGCCUUGAAUGUGAUCAGUGAGCAGGUGUCUCACGAAUUGACUUUUUUGUUGCUUAAUGGCUCGGCUUGGGGGGCAACAUUGACAGCACACUGUAGAUGGGAGGAGGGGAAACGAUGAGCUAACGUAAUCAAGUUUAUCGAAGCCGAGGCAAUUUAUUCAUUCUACAUAGUCUAAAAUCCUCUUAUUACAGCCCUUGAAGUAGCAAAUGUCCUUUCGAUAGUUUUCCAAGAGCGCAGACGGACCAGCUUUGUGUUGAAGAUAAAUGUUACUUCUAGUCAUAAGUCACUUUUGGAUACCCGGAAGAAAGGCUAGCAUUGAUGAGAUUCGAUGGAAACAAAGGAGACCUGAAAAUGCGUCAUUAAGCCACCCGGUGCUCCAACCAGACGCUUUUGCCCAAUCCAAAAUCCAGUUCUGCUUGUCACAUAAUGGUGACUAUUAAAAGCAUUCGGCCCGAUAGCUUCCGUCUUUAAAAAAACAAAUAAACAUCUCCCAACCCCCCAGCCCCGGCCUCCCGCGCUCACUCUGGGUUCAACGAGCGUGAUAAAAGUGCCGUUUGGCAUGUUCCACCAAAAACUUACCAGCCACUCAAAACGUCCUCUCUCCGUCCACCUUCGCUCGGAACUCCGGCGUCAUCGUUGUCGGCGUUAGCUCGUCUAGGCGUUAAACCGCGACCCGAACCCACUGCUGCGAUUUUUCUCCACUUCCUGGUUCAGGCUGAUGACGUCACCUAACGCUGCAUUGACACGAGCCGAAAACGCUGCCUUCGAGUGUACUCGGAAAUAGAAGCAACCAUUUCAAGCAAAAUCAAGAAUAUAUCAGUGCUUUGGGUUUGAUUUAAAAAAAAACACGCGGAGUCACGUUUGCGUUUUUCAAUUGCCAAUUGAAAAUGGAACAAACAAAUGCUACAGAUAUGGCCAGGUUUUCCGUUUCCAUUUUUUAAGAACCCACUUUUACAUUUGAAAAUGUGGGGGCUCGCGUCCUAUUGCCAACUGAAAAUCCUUCAAUGCAGUAUUUAUUUACUCCCCAGUAACCAUUUCACAUCAUGCAUCUUGCAGAUCUUCAGUGCUUCACCCCACAUAGAGAUAACUAGUCAAAUAUUUGCUCAAGGUGCAGACGCCUGCACACAAUCCUGUUGGAGGAUAUCAAUAAAAAGCCAAGAGGUUAGCAACCAACCGUUUAAAAAUUGUAUUAUUUGGCAAAGAGAAUACUGUGUCAGGCACUUGAGUUUGUCUUUUCUCCAGUGCAAUUUAGAGGCAAAACAGUCCCAAAGAAGCAAAAAUAUCAUCAUGCAGUCAGUGGCAUGUUAGUCAUGUGACUGCCCUGUGCCUGACCAGAUGAACUGCGGUCAUCAAAUGGUGGCCGACGUGCAGAAAAAAAAGCAAAGCAAAGCAACACAAGUUACACAAAUCAAAUCAUGUGGCCCUUCUACCUUCAAGCAGUGUUUGCCAACCACCAAUGUGCCAUGAAAAAUGAUGCCAUUCCACUUAAUUGGUCUCAAAAUGAUUAUCGACUUCAAUAAAUAAUAUUUAUCCAUCUAUGCUAGCAACAUGUAGUGAGUGAUAGGCGAAAGCAAUAAGUGCUCUUUCACGAGCAUAUAUAAGGUACAUAGAAGUUGCCAUUCCUAACUGAAUACGCAGGUUCGGGGCUGAGUACGCAGUAAAAAUGUGCAAGGUUUGUAACUACAGACCGAUGACAAACGGCAGCAGCAAAGAACUACUUUUGGCUGAUGAAGGUCCGAAAACCACUUCGAUGUAGUUCCUUGGCACGAGUAAGACACAAGGUAGCACCAAAGUAACUGGCUGCUUUGUCUUGAGCACAAAAACAGCGAAUAAGAGGAUAAUGGGCUUUCGGACUUUUCACAAAUCGCUACUAUUGGUCUGUUCCCACGCCUUCUGUUAAUUGUACGCAAUUUAGAGCUUUGAAACUAGCACAAGGACAAAUCUAGUCACUCUCUUGAAUCCCUCAGAGGUCUGGGAAGUGUCCAGAAAUCACUGCAGGAGUUACACAGCAUAAUGCCACUUUAAGAUUGAAAGUUUGGCUGUGUUUUUUCAGAUGAAAACGGGGGAAAUAGUGUGACAUAGAUGCAGAAGGAAGCGGACAGCCAUAAAGGUUCAUUGUGUACAAAAUAAUUUCCACCCACAACACUCCUCCUCAUGGCGCAUAGACCUUAAAAAAACACACAAAAAAAGUUUGGGAAGAUGUAACCAGUUAUACUAAAUUUGCAAGGCAGGUGGUGUGUUGAUGUUAGUGCACAAUGGUAUAUGUACAUACCAUGCGAUGUUUGAUGACUCGAGCAAGACAGCACGUUUAUAUUACCGGUAUUCAUUUUUAAAUCUCUUGAAAUUUUUUCAUUAAGGAGAUGCAUAAGAUUUUUCCCCACAUUGACGUUACAGUUAUCUUUUGUGCCAUUUUGGUUUGUUUGUUGCUGCGCCAUGAGAUAUUUCUAAUGUUAAAUAUGUGACUUGGCACAGAAAAUGUUUGGAGCACUCGGCUUGAAAAUCCCCCCCGCCAAAAAACAUAGGACUACCAACCAAAAACCAUUGACAUUAAAAUAGAAUAAAAAUAUUCCUAGAUUGAUGCCUAUGCAGUGCACAAAAGCCAUUACUUAGUGAUUAUUAAAUAAAAUAAAUGAGUACAGUGGUAGUUUUUGUGGUUGUUGUUGUUUUUUGGUUUGUUUGUUUUUUCUUUUUUCUGAACCUCUGUGAUGAUACUGCGCACCGAGGCUGAUUUCAAGUGGUUUUGGGACAAAGACAAGAAAGAAGCGGGGCCCUCCUUUUCUCUCCCGGAGAAGCAACUCAUUAAAAAAUAUAUAAUCAUUCACCACAAUAAAGCGUGCAUGUUCCGGUGAGAGACACAAGGAGGGCAGGGAGGUGUCCGUUUUGGGUCUUUGGCAAAGAACGCCCUCCACUCCUUUCUGUUGGACUUUGGGAACGUCAGUCUUUCAGUAAGUCGGGGGUUGAUACUCUCCUGGAGUCUCCUGGUUUUCGGAAAAAGGGGACUGCUGGUAGCCGGUGGGGCCACU